GCAAGCCUGACGGAGCAACGCCGCGUGAGGGACGAAGGCCUUUGGGCUGUAAACCUCUUUUCUCAAGGAAGAAGAUCUGACGGUACUUGAGGAAUAAGCCACGGCUAAUUCCGUGCCAGCAGCCGCGGUAAUACGGGAGUGGCAAGCGUUAUCCGGAAUUAUUGGGCGUAAAGCGUCCGCAGGCGGCCGUUUAAGUCUGUUGUUAAAUCGUGGAGCUCAACUCCAUCACGGCAAUGGAAACUGUUCGGCUUGAGUAUGGUAGGGGCAGGGGGAAUUUCCGGUGUAGCGGUGAAAUGCGUAGAUAUCGGGAAGAACACCAGUGGCAAAAGCGCUCUGCUGGGCCAUUACUGACGCUCAUGGACGAAGGCCAGGGGAGCGAAAGGGAUUAGAUACCCCUGUAGUCCUGGCCGUAAACGAUGAACACUAGAUGUUGGGAGAAUCGACCCCUCCGGUGUCGUAGCUAACGCGUUAAGUGUUCCGCCUGGGGAGUACGCACGCAAGUGUGAAACUCAAAGGAAUUGACGGGGGCCCGCACAAGCGGUGGAGUAUGUGGUUUAAUUCGAUGCAACGCGAAGAACCUUACCAAGGCUUGACAUCCUGCGAAUCUCCAAGAAACUGGAGAGUGCCUUCGGGAACGCAGUGACAGGUGGUGCAUGGCUGUCGUCAGCUCGUGUCGUGAGAUGUUGGGUUAAGUCCCGCAACGAGCGCAACCCACGUUUUUAGUUGCCAGCAUUCAGUUGGGCACUCUAGAAAGACUGCCGGUGACAAACCGGAGGAAGGUGUGGACGACGUCAAGUCAUCAUGCCCCUUACGCCUUGGGCUACACACGUACUACAAUGCUGCGGACAAAGAGUAGCGAUCUUGCGAAAGUUAGCUAAUCUCGUAAACCGUGGCUCAGUUCAGAUCGUAGGCUGCAACUCGCCUACGUGAAGGAGGAAUCGCUAGUAAUCGCAGGUCAGCAUACUGCGGUGAAUACGUUCCCGGGCCUUGUACACACCGCCCGUCACACCAUGGAAGUUGGCC
rnacentral:rRNA from 1 species